rnacentral:tRNA from 1 species
AGCAGCGUGGCCUAGUGGACAGAGCACAGGCCUGGGGAACCAGUGGAUCUGGGUUCUAAUCCCAGCUCUACCA